AGAGAAUGAAAGGAUGGGAAUGGAAAGAAUGAAAAUUAUCACACUACAACUGUUGCUCUUCUAUACUGCUUGGACCGAAGGUUCUACUACUGAAUACAAGAUAAGUUUCUGGAUGAGAUCCGCUGAAGAAAAAGUUUAUCCACUGGUUAUUGUCACUGGAACUAAUGGAAAAACAGUGGAACAACAGUGUGAAGCAAACUUGUCAGCACCUAAGAAGAUUUCAGCAUGUACCAUAAAGACUGAAACUGAUAUUGGAACAUUUGAAUGUCUGAUUGUAAGAAUCAUUCAUUGUCAAUUCUGUCGCUUGACAUACCAAAUGGCGACAGUUGAGAUAUCCGGCAUAAAUGAGACCCAAUACUAUUUCCCGCGUUUUGGGAUUGACUCUUUGUCUCGUACCGAUGGAAAUCAAACAGUGUGUUUUACAGACAAGUUUGACGAUCCAGAGCAAAAGUGGUAUCCAAAUAGACGCCGGGGGUCUGAUUAUGGUGGUUUUGAUGGAAGUUUUUGGUACUGGCUCCAAUUGAUGUUUAUACCACCUUUCUUUGCACUUUUGAUAAUGAUUUUUUCCUUUGUUGCCUGUGCACGGGGAAGAGUAUGUGGCUGUUGCAACAGAGGUAAAAGGAGCACUAUCACCGUGCAAGUGGCCUAAUUGCUCUGAUUUCUUAGUCUGAAAACCGUUUAUCGGUAACUAUUAACUGGUAACUGGUAACUGGUAACUGGUAACUGGUAACUGGUAACUGGUAACUGGUAACUGGUAACUGGUAACUGGUAACUGUAACUGGUAACUGGUAACUGUAACUGGUAACUGGUAACUGUAACUGGUUACCAUAUCAAAGACCUCUGAAUAGCUGAAAAGUAAUCACAAUGAGGUCAUUUGAACUAUAAAACCACUUACAACCCUUACUUUUCAACCAAUAUACCCUUUGAGGCUUUCAUGCAUGAUGCUUGGUCAUGAUAUAUCAUUGUUAUUAAUCAUUGUAAAUUCUUUUUACACAGGAUAGCACAGGUUUUUUUCACAGAAUAAAAAUAAAAAUAAUUGGCCCACCAUCGUGGACUGUAGUAAUUAUACAC